rnacentral:rRNA from 1 species
GAGUUUGAUCAUGGCUCAGGACGAACGCUGGCGGCACGCCUAACACAUGCAAGUCGAACGGAGAUAUUUUGGUUUACUGAGAUAUCUUAGUGGCGGACGGGUGAGUAACACGUGAGCAACCUGCCUCUGAGAGAGGGAUAGCUUCUGGAAACGGAUGGUAAUACCUCAUAACAUAACGAAGCCGCAUGACUUUGUUAUCAAAGAUUUAUCACUCAGAGAUGGGCUCGCGUCUGAUUAGAUAGUUGGUGAGGUAACGGCUCACCAAGUCGACGAUCAGUAGCCGGACUGAGAGGUUGAACGGCCACAUUGGGACUGAGACACGGCCCAGACUCCUACGGGAGGCAGCAGUGGGGAAUAUUGCACAAUGGGGGAAACCCUGAUGCAGCGAUGCCGCGUGGAGGAAGAAGGUUUUCGGAUUGUAAACUCCUGUCUAAAGGACGAUAAUGACGGUACUAGGAGGAUUCCCGCG